GGUUUUCUUUAUGGAGAACAGAGAACAAACACAAACAAAUCAGAUGGCACAUAAUGUUGCUCGCACACCAUGUGCAGACAUCUCAAACACCAUUAAUACAGGUGAUCAAAAUGGAUCAAACUCGUUACGACCAAUUGUUGAUGCUAAGGAACGUAAGAGGCAAAGAGAUAAGGAAAGAUAUGCCACGAUGUCUGAUGAACAGAAAAACGAGAAAAACAAAAAGCGUCGAGAAGCACGUCUACGGAAUAAAGAGUUGAAUAAGAAGCGUCCUGAAGCAAGUCAACAAAAUGAUUGCCAAAAUAUGAUGCCCAACGCGCCAAG
rnacentral:misc_RNA from 1 species